CUCGUCCGAUCUCGGAAGCUAAUCAGAGUCGGGCCCGGUUAGUACUUGGAUGGGAGACCUCCUGGGAAUACCGGGUGCCGUAGGCU
rnacentral:rRNA from 1 species